rnacentral:rRNA from 1 species
GAAUAUUGCACAAUGGGCGAAAGCCUGAUGCAGCAACGCCGCGUGAAUGAUGAAGGCCUUCGGGUCGUAAAGUUCUUUGAUCAGGGAUGAUAAUGACAGUACCUGAAAAACAAGCCACGGCUAACUACGUGCCAGCAGCCGCGGUAAUACGUAGGUGGCGAGCGUUGUCCGGAAUUACUGGGCGUAAAGGAUGCGUAGGUGGAUACUUAAGUGGGAUGUGAAAUCCCCGGGCUCAACCCGGGAACUGCAUUCCAAACUGGGUAUCUAGAGUGCAGGAGAGGAAAGCGGAAUUCCUAGUGUAGCGGUGAAAUGCGUAGAUAUUAGGAGGAACACCAGUGGCGAAGGCGGCUUUCUGGACUGUAACUGACACUGAGGCAUGAAAGCGUGGGUAGCAAACA